rnacentral:rRNA from 1 species
CACGUAGGGGGCAAGCGUUGUCCGGAUUUAUUGGGCGUAAGGAGCUCGUAGGCGGCUUAGUAAGUCGGGUGUGAAACCUCCAGGCUCAACCUGGAGACGCCACCCGAUACUGCUGUGGCUAGAGUCCGGUAGGGGAGCGUGGAAUUCCCAGUGUAGCGGUGAAAUGCGUAGAUAUUGGGAGGAACACCAGUGGCGAAGGCGGCUCACUGGACCGGUACUGACGCUGAUGCGCGAAAGCGUGGGGAGCAAACGGG